rnacentral:rRNA from 1 species
UGGGGAAUAUUGCACAAUGGGCGCAAGCCUGAUGCAGCCAUGCCGCGUGUAUGAAGAAGGCCUUCGGGUUGUAAAGUACUUUCAGCGGGGAGGAAGGCGAUAAGGUUAAUAACCUUGUCGAUUGACGUUACCCGCAGAAGAAGCACCGGCUAACUCCGUGCCAGCAGCCGCGGUAAUACGGAGGGUGCAAGCGUUAAUCGGAAUUACUGGGCGUAAAGCGCACGCAGGCGGUCUGUCAAGUCGGAUGUGAAAUCCCCGGGCUCAACCUGGGAACUGCAUUCGAAACUGGCAGGCUAGAGUCUUGUAGAGGAGGGUAGAAUUCCAGGUGUAGCGGUGAAAUGCGUAGAGAUCUGGAGGAAUACCGGUGGCGAGGGCGGCCCCCUGGACAAAGACUGACGCUCAGGUGCGAAAGCGUGGGGAGCAAACA